rnacentral:rRNA from 1 species
AUUGAACGCUGGCGGCAGGCCUAACACAUGCAAGUCGAACGGUAACAGGAAGCAGCUUGCUGCUUUGCUGACGAGUGGCGGACGGGUGAGUAAUGUCUGGGAAACUGCCCGAUGGAGGGGGAUAACUACUGGAAACGGUAGCUAAUACCGCAUAACGUCGCAAGACCAAAGAGGGGGACCUUAGGGCCUCUUGCCAUCGGAUGUGCCCAGAUGGGAUUAGCUAGUAGGUGGGGUAACGGCUCACCUAGGCGACGAUCCCUAGCUGGUCUGAGAGGAUGACCAGCCACACUGGAACUGAGACACGGUCCAGACUCCUACGGGAGGCAGCAGUGGGGAAUAUUGCACAAUGGGCGCAAGCCUGAUGCAGCCAUGCCGCGUGUAUGAAGAAGGCCUUCGGGUUGUAAAGUACUUUCAGCGGGGAGGAAGGGAGUAAAGUUAAUACCUUUGCUCACUGACGUUACCCGCAGAAGAAGCACCGGCUAACUCCGUG